AUGAACGAAGAGUUCCAAGUCAAAGACAAUAGGGAGUGGUGGGGACUGGGGUCAUCUGAAGAUUUCAUGCCCCACCUGGAGGGAACGCUUUUACUCAGCUCCAGGCAAUUGUUGCCAUACAUGAACAAGGGCCUGCUGCUGCCAGGUUUUUCUUUUUUCUUUCUUUCUUUCUUUUUUUUUUUUUUCAAGAAAAUCUGGAAGUCUAGACUUUUGACAGCAUUUCCUGGCAAUGUGUGGGGUUUUUUUCUUUUCAACAUUGUGCAGGUUAAUGAGUUGCUAGGAGUUUCUGCCCUGUUCUCAGCCUUCUUUUGGGAGACCACAUGCUGGGCAGUUCUGUUCUCCUCUGGCUUUGCAGCUCCCAGCUGGACCCUGGGCCAUGUCAGAGGGGGAGGCCACUUGGAGUGUAGCAGGGUGUGGGCUAACCAUCUCCCUUUGGAUUCUAGGUUCCUGGGCCUCCAGGGCCAGAGGGGCCCCCCGGACCUCCGGGGCUCCAAGGUGUUCCUGGACCAAAGGGGGAAGCAGGACUAGAUGGAGCAAAAGGAGAGAAGGGUGUCCAGGGAGAGAAAGGAGAUCGAGGGCCGCUGGGAUUACCCGUAAGUAUCUCAGAGCCAGCGAGCCUGUGAGGAGCCCAGCCGGGUGGUCCUGAGGAGGCUGGGGUGGCGGUGCAGGACCCCGGGAGAAGGCUGCUGCAAAACUGGGGGUCCUAACAUUCUGAGCAUUCCAGAACACUUCGUGUAGUUUUGCUUUCCCACCUGGGCAAGACCGUAGACUCUAAUUCCCUUCCUGAGGGCUUCCUCUGGGCCAGGUCCUGGGCUGGUCAUGGGGGGAAUGCAGAGCUAAAUAAGACAGGGCCCCCCCACCCAAGGAGCCCCCAGCUGGAGAGCCGCAAGUGGCCUGAGGACAGCCUCAGGCCCUACAUGUGCCUGAUUCAGAGGCAAUAAAAAUCCGCCCUUAAUGGGAACUCA
rnacentral:lncRNA from 1 species